CUGCCGGGGCCGCGCCGUCGUCGCUGGGCAGGUCGCUAAUGUGAGGGUGCCCGUGACCCCAGUAGCGCGCUACCCCGCUGCCCCUCCGGGGAGUGGGCCUGCCGCAGUGCUCCUCUCAUGCCCUUCUCCAAUGCUUUCUUCAGCUGUGGUUCAUUUAACACAACAGUGUUGUGUUGCUGCCACCAGAAGGAGCGGUUCUGCUCCCUCCAGAGCCAUUCUCCGUGGCAUCGCUCUUGUCAAGCCCUUUGCAAACGCAACUCACUGUGCAAGUACACUUUGACUAAUACCAGAGUAAGGUAUUUCAUCAUGUUUUAAAGCACAUCCCAAGCAAUUUAUACCAAGAACAGUGAGCAAAGUCAUUCUCACAUAUCCUAGCUGCUGCAACUGAAUCAUCUACUGCAAUCUCAAAGGCCACGAUGGCAAGAGUUUCUUCAUAUAACAAGCCUGUUCACACACACAAGAGAGAAGCAGUCACUCCAAUGUUGGUGUAAUCCCUCUGAGCAGCUUCUCAAACACCUGUACUCUUGAAGCUGUGCACCCAUAGCUGAGAUGUCUACAGUGCUUUUAAGAAUAUUUUAACAUUUUGCUAAGUACUGAAAUAUAUUGGUCAUAAAUUGGUCUGGCUA